rnacentral:rRNA from 1 species
CAGAAGCCGCGGGAAUACAGAGGGUGCAAGCGUUAAUCGGAAUUACUGGGCGUAAAGCGCGCGUAGGUGGUUUGUUAAGUUGGAUGUGAAAUCCCCGGGCUCAACCUGGGAACUUCAUCCAAAACUGGCAAGCUAGAGUAUGGUAGAGGGUGGUGGAAUUUCCUGUGUAGCGGUGAAAUGCGUAGAUAUAGGAAGGAACACCAGUGGCGAAGGCGACCACCUGGACUGAUACUGACACUGAGGUGCGAAAGCGUGGGGAGCAAACAGGAUUAGAUACCCCCGUAGUCCCUGUCUCUUAUAC